GGGGGGACGGUUAUCGCGAUACUGGGCGUAAGCGUGUGUAGGCGGUUCGGAAAGAAAGAUGUGAAAUCCCAGGGCUCAACCUUGGAACUGCAUUUUUAACUGCCGAGCUAGAGUAUGUCAGAGGGGGGUAGAAUUCCACGUGUAGCAGUGAAAUGCGUAGAUAUGUGGAGGAAUACCGAUGGCGAAGGCAGCCCCCUGGGAUAAUACUGACGCUCAGACACGAAAGCGUGGGGAGCAAACAGGAUUAGAUACCCUGGUAGUCCACGCCCUAAACGAUGUCAACUAGCUGUUGGGGCCGUUAGGCCUUAGUAGCGCAGCUAACGCGUGAAGUUGACCGCCUGGGGAGUACGGUCGCAAGAUUAAAACUCAAAGGAAUUGACGGGGACCCGCACAAGCGGUGGAUGAUGUGGAUUAAUUCGAUGCAACGCGAAAAACCUUACCUACCCUUGACAUGUCUGGAAAGCCGAAGAGAUUUGGCCGUGCUCGCAAGAGAACCGGAACACAGGUGCUGCAUGGCUGUCGUCAGCUCGUGUCGUGAGAUGUUGGGUUAAGUCCCGCAACGAGCGCAACCCUUGUCAUUAGUUGCUACGCAAGAGCACUCUAAUGAGACUGCCGGUGACAAACCGGAGGAAGGUGGGGAUGACGUCAAGUCCUCAUGGCCCUUAUGGGUAGGGCUUCACACGUCAUACAAUGGUCGGGACAGAGGGUCGCCAACCCGCGAGGGGGAGCCAAUCUCAGAAACCCGAUCGUAGUCCGGAUCGCAGUCUGCAACUCGACUGCGUGAAGUCGGAAUCGCUAGUAAUCGCGGAUCAGAAUGUCGCGGUGAAUACGUUCCCGGGUCUUGUACACACCGCCCGUCACACCAUGGGAGUGGGUUUCACCAGAAGUAGGUAGCCUAACCGUAAGGAGGGCGCUUACCACGGUGGGAUUCAUGACUGGGGUGAAGUCGUACAGGGGGGAAACCCGUAAAAAGCCCCAAAAA
rnacentral:rRNA from 1 species